rnacentral:rRNA from 1 species
CCGCUUUCGGACGGAAAGAAAUCGCAUGGACUAAUACUCUGUGUGGAUGACGGUACCGUAAGAAGAAGCACCGGCUAACUACGUGCCAGCAGCCGCGGUAAUACGUAGGGUGCGAGCGUUAAUCGGAAUUACUGGGCGUAAAGCGUGCGCAGGCGGUUUCUUAAGCCAGACGUGAAAUCCCCGGGCUUAACCUGGGAACUGCGUUUGGAACUGGGAGACUAGAGUGUGUCAGAGGGAGGUGGAAUUCCGCGUGUAGCAGUGAAAUGCGUAGAUAUGCGGAGGAACACCGAUGGCGAAGGCAGCCUCCUGGGAUAACACUGACGCUCAUGCACGAAAGCGUGGGGAGCAAACAGGAUUAGAUACCCUGGUAGUCCACGCCCUAAACGAUGUCAACUGGCUGUUGGGAGAGAAAUCUUUCAGUAGCGAAGCUAACGCGUGAAGUUGACCGCCUGGGAGUACGGCCGCAAGGUUGAAACUCAAAGGAA